rnacentral:rRNA from 1 species
UUCGAUGCAACGCGAACGAACUUACCUGGUCUUGACAUCCCGGAGACCUUAGGAACUAGGGGUGCUUCCAUCUGGAAGAAUCUGGAGACAGGUGCUGCAUGGCUGUCGUCAGCUCGUGUCGUGAGAUGUUGGGUUAAGUCCCGCAACGAGCGCAACCCUUGCCUUUAGUUGCCAGCAGUUCGGCUGGGCACUCUAAAGGGACUGCCGGUGUUAAACCGGAGGAAGGUGGGGAUGACGUCAAGUCCUCAUGGCCUUUAUGACCAGGGCUACACACGUACUACAAUGGCCGAUACAAAGGGCAGCGACACUGCGAGGUGAAGCCAAUCCCGUAAAAUCGGUCUCAGUCCGGAUUGGAGUCUGCAACUCGACUCCAUGAAGUUGGAAUCGCUAGUAAUCGUGGAUCAGCAUGCCACGGUGAAUACGUUCCCGGGCCUU